rnacentral:rRNA from 1 species
CCUACGGGAGGCUGCAGUGGGGAAUAUCGGACAAUGGGGGGAACCCUGAUCCAGCCAUGCCGCGUGUGUGAAGAAGGCCCUCGGGUUGUAAAGCACUUUCAGUGAGGAAGAACGCCUGGUGGUUAAUACCCAUCAGGAAAGACAUCACUCACAGAAGAAGCACCGGCUAACUCCGUGCCAGCAGCCGCGGUAAUACGGAGGGUGCGAGCGUUAAUCGGAAUUACUGGGCGUAAAGCGCGCGUAGGUGGCUUGAUAAGCCGGUUGUGAAAGCCCCGGGCUCAACCUGGGAACGGCAUCCGGAACUGUCAAGCUAGAGUGCAGGAGAGGAAGGUAGAAUUCCCGGUGUAGCGGUGAAAUGCGUAGAGAUCGGGAGGAAUACCAGUGGCGAAGGCGGCCUUCUGGACUGACACUGACACUGAGGUGCGAAAGCGUGGGUAGCAAACAGGAUUAGAUACCCCUGUAGUC